GUUGACCUCGGAUCAGGUAGGACUACCCGCUGAACUUAAGCAUAUCAAUAAGCGGAGGAAAAGAAACCAACAGGGAUUGCCCCAGUAACGGCGAGUGAAGCGGCAACAGCUCAGAUUUGGAAUCUGGCCCCUAGGGCCCGAGUUGUAAUCUGGAGAGGAUGUUUCUGGCGCGGCGCCUUCCGAGUUCCCUGGAACGGGACGCCGGAGAGGGUGAGAGCCCCGUACGGUUGGACGCCUAGCCUUUGUGAAACUCCUUCGACGAGUCGAGUAGUUUGGGAAUGCUGCUCAAAAUGGGAGGUAAAUUUCUUCUAAAGCUAAAUACCGGCCAGAGACCGAUAGCGCACAAGUAGAGUGAUCGAAAGAUGAAAAGCACUUUGAAAAGAGG
rnacentral:rRNA from 2 species